rnacentral:rRNA from 1 species
UACGUAGGGUGCGAGCGUUAAUCGGAAUUACUGGGCGUAAAGCGUGCGCAGGCGGUUUUGUAAGUCAGAUGUGAAAUCCCCGGGCUUAACCUGGGAAUGGCAUUUGGGACUGCAAGGCUUGAGUGCGGCAGAGGAGACUAGAAUUCCUGGUGUAGCAGUGAAAUGCGUAGAUAUCAGGAGGAAUACCGAUGGCGAAGGCAGGUCUCUGGGCUGACACUGACGCUCAUGCACGAAAGCGUGGGGAGCAAACAGG